GCUUGGCUCGGCACUAUGCGCAAUUUGCGCGUCUUUCUUCUCCGCACGCCCGACGCCCCCAUUCUCCUCUCCUUGUGAUUUUCUCCAAUCCGGCGAUGACAGCAACUCCGGAGGACUCUGUGAGCGAGGAUUUCUUCUAGGGUUCAUCUUCUCCGGUGAAGCGUUUCUGUGUCGGCGCGGUGUUCCUUAUCCUUUAAUCUCUCGACAAAGGAGGGUCUUCUGUGGAUGGCGUUCUGAAAGCAGAAGCUUCCAAGGAGGAAAUCGGCUGCUCCAUUUCUUCUCCGGGUGUUCUUCAUCCCUCCCUCAGCAGACAUCUUCUGUGGACGGCGUUCCAAAAGCAGAGGAGUCCAGCUGAGGAAUCUGACUGUGUCUUCAUCUUCUCUGGUGGAAGCUGCUGUGGAGCCAUUCUUCUGUGGACGGCGUUCCGAAAGCAGAAGUCUCUUCGAACUCCGGCUGAAGCAUCCCAUAUCGGCAGAAGCAUCUUCAUCCCAGAGCUGUAGAUCAGAGAUUCAGUUGUUGUGUUUCUGUUCACCGGGGCUGGCGUUCCAAAUCCGGGUCUCCGUGUGACGGCAGGAUUGAUGGUUGAUGAAAAGUGGUUGAAGGAAAGGAGUGAGAGGAGAAAUACUACAGUAUAUCGAGAAUAAAGACCUAUUUUAGUCAAUUUCAUCAUUUAGACCACUGUUUCAGUUUUUCUAUAUUUUGCAUUUCAUUUUUUUUCGAUUUCAUUCUCCCUUAUUUCUAUUUUUUUGGUGGUUGUAAAAAUUCAAAAAAAGUGUGGUUAGGGCUUCAUUA